UGGGGGAAUAUUGCACAAUGGGCGCAAGCCUGAUGCAGCAACGCCGCGUGGAGGAAGACGGUUUUCGGAUUGUAAACUCCUGUUCUUAGUGAAGAAAAAUGACGGUAGCUAAGGAGCAAGCCACGGCUAACUACGUGCCAGCAGCCGCGGUAAUACGUAGGUGGCAAGCGUUGUCCGGAUUUACUGGGUGUAAAGGGCGUGCAGCCGGGAAUGCAAGUCAGAUGUGAAAUCCAUGGGCUUAACCCAUGAACUGCAUUUGAAACUGUAUUUCUUGAGUACUGGAGAGGCAAUCGGAAUUCCUAGUGUAGCGGUGAAAUGCGUAGAUAUUAGGAGGAACACCAGUGGCGAAGGCGGAUUGCUGGACAGCAACUGACGGUGAGGCGCGAAAGUGUGGGGAGCAAACAGGAUUAGAUACCCUGGUAGU
rnacentral:rRNA from 1 species